GAUGAAGAACGCAGCGAAAUGCGAUAAGUAAUGUGAAUUGCAGAAUUCCGUGAAUCAUCGAAUCUUUGAACGCACAUUGCGCCCCCUGGUAUUCCGGGGGGCAUGCCUGUCCGAGCGUCAUUGCUGCCCUCAAGCACGGCUUGUGUGUUGGGCCUCCGUCCUCCUCCCGGGGGACGGGCCCGAAAGGCAGCGGCGGCACCGCGUCCGGUCCUCGAGCGUAUGGGGCUUCGUCACCCGCUCUUGUAGGCCCGGCCGGCGCUUGCCGACACAUCAAUCUUUUUUCCAGGUUGACCUCGGAUCAGGUAGGAAUACCCGCUGAACUUAAGCAUAUCAAUAAGCGGAGGA
rnacentral:misc_RNA from 1 species